GAGGAAUGUAUAGCAAUAGCUACUUGUAUCAUUAUAGUAAUGAUACAAGCUCGACUAUGUUGAAUAAAAUUCUAGGUAGAAUUAUGAUAAUGACAUUGUCUGCCUAUGUGUCUUGACCAAAUUACGUGCCAGCAGUCGCGGUAAUACGUAGAAGACUAGUGUUAUUCAUGUUUAGUCGGUUUAAAGGGUACCUAGACGGUGAAUCAAGCUUUCAAUAAAUAAAAAAAGGGACUAAUUCGCUAGAGUUACUUACGAGGGGGUAUUAAAGUACUGCUGGUGUAGAGAUGAAAUUCUGUCAUACCUCUUUUCGAAAGAAGAAUUAUGGCACAGGUAUAGGCGAAGGCAUCCCCUUAUGUGAUAACUGACGUUGAGGGACGAAGGCUUCAUGUAACAAACAGGAUUAGAUACCCUAGUAGUUGAAAGCAGAAAAUGAUGAAUGUCAUAGAUUAGAUGUCUAAGUUUAUUCUAUAAAUGAAAGUGUAAGCAUUCCACCUCAUGAGUAAUUUGGCAACAUUGGAAUUGAAAUCAUUAGACCGUUUCUGAAACCAG
rnacentral:rRNA from 1 species